GAUCUUCCACUUCACUUAAUCAUUGUCAAUCUAUUUCAAUCCCCGGCAACGGCGCCAAAAACUUGAUGUGUGGAAAACGAUCCAACACGAAACUCACCGGCAAGUGCACCGGGUCGCAUCAAGUAAUAAAACUCACGGGAGUGAGGUCGAUCCCACAAGGAUUGAAGGAUUGAACAAUUUUAGUUUAGUGGAUGACUUAGUCUAGCGAAUCAAGAGUUGAUUUGAGUUGUUUGUAUUCGACAGAAGCUAAAUUGCAUGAAAUAAAAAGGGAGAGGGACAAUUGGCAAGAAAUUAAAGUGCAGAGAAAUUAAAGAGGC
rnacentral:lncRNA from 1 species